GCUGUAGCUCAGUGGCAGAGCACCUGCUUUGCAUGCAGAAGGUCCCAGGUUCAGUCCACAGCAUCUACA